rnacentral:lncRNA from 1 species
ACAUUCUUGAUUACUUAAUUGAUGCAGCCAAGAAAUCCAGUAACAAAAAUGAAGUACAUGAAGCCGAAUAUGGCGGGUACCCUGGUGAUGGCGAUGGAUACCCUGGCGGCGGCCGUGGUGGUGUUGGUGGCGGAUACCCUGGCGGUGGCCAUGGUGGCGGUGGUGGUGGCCGUGGUGGUGGUGGAUACCCUGGCCAUGGUGGUGGUGGUGGAUACCCUGUCGGUGGUAGUAAAUACUCAGGCAACCGUGGUGGUGGCGGCCGGAAGUGUUGCUCCUAGAUACAAAGGUGAAUAAAUAGUAAUAUAUACUUAUAUCACCUUGUACUAAUUAGUGGCAAGAUGUAGUAGUAAUAUUCUUGCUGCUUUAAAUUUGGAGCUUAUUGUAAGAAUUAUUAUCAUGAAAUAAAAGCCAUCAUGUAAUGUUUGUUAAUUAUGCUAUGGUAUGAUAAUACUUUCCUUUGGUGUUUUACUUAUGGGCGGAAUUCUUAUUUCAUAUUAUUAUAAUUUGUUUCAAUUAACCGUUCACUAUUAUUAUCAAUAUCAAGUAUCAAUAUACAUCAAUAGUGUAAAUUUGCUUAUAUUUUUCUCUUCGAUUUCCGUGGAACUCAUCACACAUUUAUUAUGAAACAUACUUAUAAUGUCCAAAAACUAUGUAAAUUUAGAUUAGGCAAAAUUGAGGGCAUUUAUUAUUCUACGAUUUUCUCAAAUGUUUUGAAUUAUUGAUUAUUGUAGCUCUUUUUUGAAAAACUAAUUAUAGUAGUAUGACUUAUAAUACUUGGUAUUUGGGUCAAAAUAUGUGAUUUUAAAAAAAAAAAUUGGAAAAAUCAAUAUAUGUCUGAAUUCACAAAAAAAAUUCGAAAAUGAUAAUCGAAUUAUAAAAUGAAAUAGGCUUCAUUGUUGGAUUUUAUUAUAAGAAGCAUCACUGUGAAGACAAUCUAGCUACAAACUCUCAUUCCUUGAUAAAAUGAUUAAUUCUCAAACAUUACUAGAAAUUUGCACACCAUUUUUUUAAACCAUAUUUUGCUCCAUAUAUACCUCAUAUUUUGAUAGGAUCAACAAGCAAUAAAAGUAAUUUAUUUUGCUAUGCCAAUAUUUUAUUUAAUAAUAAUUUUAAUUGAGUGAUUUUAUUGAUAGAAAUGUCUAAGUUUAGUGAUUUUAUUGAUACAAAACAAAGUUCAAUGACUUUGUUAGAUAAAUUCUCAAAGUUGGGUGACCUUUUGAGAUAUUAACUCUAUAAUAUGACGACCCUUUCAGUAUAUUGCUUUAGUUAUUGCACUACCGAGAAAUCUAUGAUUUCUAUUCAUAAUUUUAUCAAAUCCGGAGUUAUUCGGACUCCAUUAUAAUAAAAUCAAACCACCGUAAAAUUAAAUACAUAUAGCAUAUACAUAUCAUUUGUAGCCUAAGUAUUUUUUUCAUCUAGUAAUUGUAAGGAGUGAUGCAACUUUGAUUUUACAUGUGUUCAAACUUUUGUAUUGCUCUUUGAUUUCCUUGGUGUCCACAUUGCUUAAUGUCUUAUUAGAACGGGAGCUGUUUAUCCAAUUUUAGACCUUGAGCUACAUGUCAACAAAGGUGGAGUAGAAGGACUUCUGACAUUUACAAAAGUGUUGUAAACCUUGUGAUUAAAGGUACUAUCAAAGGAAAGAAAUGUGUUUUGUAAUAGAAAGUGUCAACAAUGAGCUAACCUAUUGAAAGUUAUGUUGGAAGAGUUUCUUUGAUUUUUGCAGAUAGGAGUGAGCUCAUAGAAAUUUAUAAAUCAAUUCAAUCAUAGAACAAUAUUAAGUAACUAAUUUUACAAGAUCCAAUGAGAAGCAUAGGCUAUAAAGUGAACAUAAUUUUUUUUGUAGAACAUAAUUGUGUUACUUACCUUUCCAAAUUUUGUUCAUAAAUUUUUCCGUAUUCUAAUCAAACGCAUCUUAUAAAUGGACAGUAAUCAAAUGACCAUAUUUGAGAUCACUACAUCAAAAAUAAUCAUUAGCAAAAAUUAAUUUUUAAUUGCCGUUAAAUAUGUAUUUUUAGCGGCAAUUAGCACUCUUUGUAUAUGUCCCUAAAGUCUUUAACGACAUUGGUUCUAAUAGCACUUAACUAAUACCGGUAAAGACUUUAACACUCUUUAUUACUGUCAAUAUUUAUUGCCGCUAAAAGUUAUUUUUGUUGUAGUGGAUACACCCAGUGAAAUUCUUGAAUAUAUAAAGGAAGAAAGUCACUCCAUUCACUCGAGUAUAUAAAAGAAGGAAACUACUCGUAAUUUGAUAACCACAAAUUAAAAUUGAACUUCAUUUUUUGGGCACCUAGAUUUUGAUUCAAAUAUGUAAUAUAUUAUGCUCAAUAUUGUUCUAGUCCAGUUGAAAUCAAUAUUCAAAUUGAAUAAAUUUCAUAAUAUUAUGACGUAGAAAGUCAUAAUAAGCUUGUUUGGAUCAUGCCUUUCCUUGUUGCAUGCUAAAAUCACUAAAUGAUAUAAGACCUCUGACUUUCUUAAAUUAGUGUAUUGUUACAAAUUGGAGUAAUCCUCUCUUAGCAAUUUAGUUUAGGCCACAAGUUUUUGAGACUAAAAAAGACCUGAGAAAUCUUAUGUUUUUGCAAUCGACUUGGCAUUUCAAAAUCAUGUUAGGCAAAGCUUUGUAGUUUAAAGCAAUAUUUUUUAAAAAAAAUAAUAAUAACUUUAUCAAUGAGCUUCAAAAUGCUACAACAGAAAGGACAAUAUCUUUAUUAGCCUUUCUUAAUAUAGUUUAAUUAAUAUUAUUUAUUAUGUCUAAAUGUUAAUAUUUAUCUCAAAAAGUAUGAAUACAGAGCUCAAAUGUUAUGAAUGAAAAUAUGAUUUACUUGAUCUGUUUUCGCCUUCCCUUUCAAUCUUAUCUAAGCUUUGUAACUGAAGGCGUUAUUGUAUGAUCUACUUGUACGAUUUUUACGGCAUAAUAUCUCAUUUAAAACGUAAGAUUAAUGUGUCUACCAAUUCUAGAAAUGUUUAUAGAGAUUUAGGUACGAUAAUAAAAUGAUUAAGCUUCAUCUAUGAAACACGUGUUUUUCGUGAUAUAUCCCUAUUUCUUCUCAUUGAUCUAUUUUCUGUCCUAGCUUUAAGAAAAAAUGCUUUGCAAAAUGGAUGACCUAAUCUGAAAGUUUCCCAUUGAAACUUAAGCCACCAUAGGUAUGAUGUAUUCACAUCCUCUUUCCUUCUUUCUUUCUUAUCAUUUUAAUUGGGGAAAAUACAUAGAAUUCCCCCUGAACUUGGCACGAAAACUUACUUUAGUACUUAAACUACACGAAUGUUUCUUUACCCCCCCCCCCAAUUUAAUUUGAAUUGAAUUUAAUUACCCCUUAAAGAGUGACGUGGCAAAAUUUGUAUCACCAACUUUUCAUAAGCGGGUGAGAAAGGAAAAGACAUCAAAAACUGACACAUAUCAUCUUUUUAUUGGAUAACAUACUUAAUAAUUUAUUUUACUAAUUUUUAAAUAUUUUAUUUUUAAUUAACUUUUCUCUCUCUAUAUUUCUUUUUCUGCAUCUUCUUCUUCAUUUUUUUUUUCCAUUUUUGUUCUUUUUCUAGCAUCUUCUUCUUCUUCUUUUUUUCUCUUCUCAUAACUCUUUCUCUUUUUUAUUCUUUUCAUUUAGUUCAAAUAAACAUUUACUUCCAAAUAUAACUUCUUCCACAUUUUUUCUUCUUCUUUUCUUUUCUAUUUUUAAUCGUUUCUUUCUUCUUCUUUUUUACAAAAUUUUUGGUGUUUGAUUCACCCACCAUUUUUUACAUCAAAGAAGAUUAUUAGAUCUAUCAGUUUAAAUCGUCUUCAGAAUGAAGUUGACUUCCAUUAAAAAAAAAUCGAAGAUAUUGUUGGCAAAAUAUUAACUAUGGAGAUUUCCCCCAAUUCAUUAAUAAUUUUUCAUUUUUAUGCAAAUAUUUUUUUAAAUUUUUGAGGAAGGUGGUAUCGUAUAACUAAACUGAAAAUACAAUUGAAAUUUGAAUUAUAGUUUGUAUAUUGAGGAGUAAAUUCAUUGAUGGGUUUAAUUUUUGGCUCAAUAUUUUUAAAAAACAAUUAUUAUGGAGAUUUAAGCAAUUAAUUAGGAAUUUUGCUAAUGUACACGUGGACGAAUGAAAAACGCGUGUGACUCAACAACACUCAGCCUUCAACUAGGCUGGUGCUGGGAAGUUUGAAAAAAAUCACUUAAAAGAUGUUAAGGGGGUAUAUAAACAUCCGUGUAGUUUAAGUACUAAAGUAAAUUUUCGGACCAAGUUCAGGUGGGUUUUUAUGUAUUUUCCCUUUUAAUUGGCUUUCUUCCACCUAAUUCUUUCAACCAUUCAAAUUUAAUAGUAUUUGUUUUUGUUGUCUUCACACCUUCUUUUCCGAGAUUUAGUUUUACAAACAUAGUAUUUAUUAAUUUAAAUGCAUAAGGUGCAUUAAAUGCCUCAAAUUAGUUGAUAACGAACACAAAAUACAUGAAAAAGACAUAAUACAUGUAGAAAUCAAGAAUAUUUGCUAACAAACAUGUCAAAACUCUAGCACACAUAUUAUACACAUUCACCCCAAUUUCCAACACUCAAUAACAACUAUAAGCAUAAAAAAUUCAUUUGCCAAAACUUUUACAAACACAUAUUAUAUGCCUCAAAAGAGAAGUAGGUUAAGAACAACGUAAGUAGAUAGAAAAAUUCUCCUGAAAACAGAGCGAUAUUCAGCGAGGGAAGAAGAAAGCACUUGUGAAAAUUAAGGAGUAAAUAUCUCAAAGCUCAGUCGAAUUAUGUUGUAAAGUCAUUCAACUUUAUUUUGUAUCAAUGAAAUCAUUGAACUCUUUUAUAAAAUUAGUUGAUCAAAUUUACCAUAAAAAACAUUUUAACAUGAUAAAAUAAAUUAAUUGCUCUCCCACAUAUCUCAAUCUUUUAUAUGUUAUUCUUCUUUUCUGCAAUAAUUACAAAAAAAUUACUCUCCAUUUCAAAAAAUUACAAUCAUGGAUCAAUGAAUUAAGUGUAAGAUAUGAAUUUUUUUUUAAAUUAUUGGUGAAAUUAUUUUUAAAUAUAAUACGAACAAUAUAAUAUGGGAAGAGGAGAAAGUGGAUACCUCAUCACGUUCAGUUUUCAUACGUUCCCUCGAAUGGGUUCGAUUCGCUUCACAAAUUUACUAAAAAGUUCAAAAUUCAUGCCAAUUGUUUUUAACUUGUUCAUGACUUUUAAAUAUUUUAAGAAGUUUCUCGUAAAUAUAUUUUAAAAAAUAAUGAUUUUAUCUUGUAGAAUAAUUUUUAUGGUAAGUUUGAUCGAGUUAUUUUAUAAAAGAAAUAUUCAAAGUUGAGUGAUUUUAUUGAUAUAAAACAAAGUUGAAUAAUUUUACAAUAUAAUUUCUCAAAGUUGAAUGACCUUUUGAGAUAUUUACUCGAAAAUUAAGAGAAAUUUAACGCUUUUGGAAUUAUGAUACUGUAAGGGAAAAAUGGAUCAUUCCAUAGAUAAUAUAAAAAGCAUCUAUGUGUUACACAUAAUACAUGUGUCUUUGUGAUAUGAGUGAGGUAAGCUUAAGAAAAUUACAGAUUUGUCCUUGUUGGUCCUUCCCAACUCCCUACAUAGUACACAUGUCUUUGUGAAAUGAGUGGGGAGUAGUACUUGUUUAAUGAAAUGGCCCCCAAUACAGUACAACUUGUAUUACCUUUGGUACAUCUAUUUGAUGCUAUGUUAGUCCCACUAACUAUAGUACAUGUGUCUUUGUGAUAUGAGUGGGGUAAGCUUAAGAAAAUUACAGAUUUGUCCUUGUUGUUCCUUCCCAACUCCCUACAUAGUACAUGUGUCUUUGUGAAAUGAGUGGGGAGUAGUACUUGUUUAAUGAAGUGGGCUGGUACAACUUAUAUUACCUUUGGUUCAUCUAUUUGAUGUUGUGUUAGUCUCAUCAACUCCCACUUAUAUAUAGGAGUAAUAUUGAAUUUCAAAAUUUUAAUUAUAUCACAUGACACAAAUUUCGGCAGACGAACUAUAACACUGAUAUGCUUCAUCUUUCCGAUGCCCAAAUGGCAAUCACUAUUAAAAAAAAACUCAACGGAUGUUAGUAAUACAAGUAUUUCAAACAUACCAAUAAGUAGUAUUUAUUUGGUAUUAAACAAAAAUAUUUCCUCCGUUUUAAUUUAUUUAUUUGGUUUUGACGUAUGCAGAUUUUAAAAAAAACCAAAGAGAAUUUUUGAAUCUUAUGGUUUAGAAUUUUUGAAUCUUCCGGUAUUAAACAUACCAAUAAGUAGUUGCCGAAGAAGGAAAGUGUCAUUUUUUUUUAGGCCUAAAAAAAGUAAGACAAAUAAAUCGGAAAUAAUAUUUUUUGAAAAAAAAAAACAAGUUAAGAAUAACAUUCUUGAUUACUUAAUUGAUGCAGCCAAGAAAUCCAGUAACAAAAAUGAAGUACAUGAAGCCGAAUAUGGCGGGUACCCUGGUGAUGGCGAUGGAUACCCUGGCGGCGGCCGUGGUGGUGUUGGUGGCGGAUACCCUGGCGGUGGCCAUGGUGGCGGUGGUGGUGGCCGUGGUGGUGGUGGAUACCCUGGCCAUGGUGGUGGUGGUGGAUACCCUGUCGGUGGUAGUAAAUACUCAGGCAACCGUGGUGGUGGCGGCCGGAAGUGUUGCUCCUAGAUACAAAGGUGAAUAAAUAGUAAUAUAUACUUAUAUCACCUUGUACUAAUUAGUGGCAAGAUGUAGUAGUAAUAUUCUUGCUGCUUUAAAUUUGGAGCUUAUUGUAAGAAUUAUUAUCAUGAAAUAAAAGCCAUCAUGUAAUGUUUGUUAAUUAUGCUAUGGUAUGAUAAUACUUUCCUUUGGUGUUUUACUUAUGGGCGGAAUUCUUAUUUCAUAUUAUUAUAAUUUGUUUCAAUUAACCGUUCACUAUUAUUAUCAAUAUCAAGUAUCAAUAUACAUCAAUAGUGUAAAUUUGCUUAUAUUUUUCUCUUCGAUUUCCGUGGAACUCAUCACACAUUUAUUAUGAAACAUACUUAUAAUGUCCAAAAACUAUGUAAAUUUAGAUUAGGCAAAAUUGAGGGCAUUUAUUAUUCUACGAUUUUCUCAAAUGUUUUGAAUUAUUGAUUAUUGUAGCUCUUUUUUGAAAAACUAAUUAUAGUAGUAUGACUUAUAAUACUUGGUAUUUGGGUCAAAAUAUGUGAUUUUAAAAAAAAAAAUUGGAAAAAUCAAUAUAUGUCUGAAUUCACAAAAAAAAUUCGAAAAUGAUAAUCGAAUUAUAAAAUGAAAUAGGCUUCAUUGUUGGAUUUUAUUAUAAGAAGCAUCACUGUGAAGACAAUCUAGCUACAAACUCUCAUUCCUUGAUAAAAUGAUUAAUUCUCAAACAUUACUAGAAAUUUGCACACCAUUUUUUUAAACCAUAUUUUGCUCCAUAUAUACCUCAUAGUUUGAUAGGAUCAACAAGCAAUGAGAUGAGUCUGUCCAUAAAUCCACAAUUAGUACUUAUAAAAUCAUUCUUUUCGAAAGAAAGUGUCAAGUGUGUUGGAUUUAUAGCUUGUUCUACAGCAAACAUUGGUACUUGAGUAGGAUAGAGCAAUUCCGUGUUUAUAUCUUUCCAUGCAUUACUCAUUAUCUUCUGAACCUCGAUAUAUGUCUCUUGCUUUGAAACUACACGUUCUUUCAUAUAACAUUCAAGGAAUGAUGGUAUAUGUGUUCUUUGUUGUUCAAACUGCAUCAAAUAGAUUUUAAUAUGCUCAAUACAAUAAUAUAUUUAAUUUUUAUCAAAUUCAUUUAUUAUCUUACAUGAUGUCCAAUAAUGUCGUCCUUUAAUAGACUUAAUACUGAUGAAGCUUGAAGAACCGAAGAAUCACUUGUUACCCAUUCCAAAGUUUCUUUGGUUAUAAUAAAUUCCUCCAAACAUACCAAGGAAAUUGUUGCAAUCAAUUUGAUGGCAAUGCUUGUAAUUGCAUUUUCCAUAUACUCCUCACAUUUUGGAAAAUAGCAAGCAUUCAACCAUUGUGCUUCCUUGAAAUAUUAUUUCAUCCAUUUUUUCAUCUAUAAAGAAACAAUAUAAAAAGUAAAAUUAGAUAAUAAGCAUACUUUAUCUAGUUUUGGAUUGUAAUUUUGUCACGCUCCGAGCCUACAUCCUGGGCGGGACUGGCACUCGAAGACCAUUGCUGGCCACAAGUGAACCCUUGGUCUGGCUUACUUACUCAGUGGAAGACAAUAUUCAUACUUAAUGAUCAAUAACACUUAACUGAACUAAAUCAUAGGAUAACUGAGAAUGUUAAAAGCUAAACAUUCAACUUGGCCAAAAGUGGCAACCCAAGUCUUAACAAUAAGAAAUGAUAUUGAAAAAACUCAAAGGACUAACAUAUGACUGUCUAUGAAGCCUCUAAUGACCAAUGAGAUGGAUGUUGGGACAGACCCCACAACAUCCUAAUUAACUAAACUAGAAAGCAAUGAAAUGGAUGCUCCGGAAAGCAAGGAGGCUUACCAACAGACUCUGGACUGCUCACUGGAUCAACGAUGCACCGGAAUGUCGAUCCUAGUUACAUGUGUCUGCAUCAUAAUACGAUGCAGGCCAACUGACAUCAGUACAUUGAAUGUACGAGUAUGCGAGUUGGAAUGCUAAAAUAACAUAGGCAUGAAAGAAUUUGAGAGAAACUGAAGAACUUACCUAGCUCAACUCAACUCAACAUGACAGAAUUCAUUUCAAUAUAAAGCAGUUCAAAAGCAAGUGCAAUAUAAAGAAAAGUUGUUUAAAAACAUGAUAUCAACUCUGUGUGUAUACAAGAUACAAAUAACUCUGAAAUGUAUUUAAAAAUACAAUGAACUGAUGUAUAUAAAAAUACAAGAACUUAUGUGGGAGUUUCUCUAACCGACAACCAUCACUUAAGAGCUAUAGUGAUGAUACAACGAUCUNNNNNNNNNNNNNNNNNNNNNNNNNNNNNNNNNNNNNNNNNNNNNNNNNNNNNNNNNNNNNNNNNNNNNNNNNNNNNNNNNNNNNNNNNNNNNNNNNNNNNNNNNNNNNNNNNNNNNNNNNNNNNNNNNNNNNNNNNNNNNNNNNNNNNNNNNNNNNNNNNNNNNNNNNNNNNNNNNNNNNNNNNNNNNNNNNNNNNNNNNNNNNNNNNNNNNNNNNNNNNNNNNNNNNNNNNNNNNNNNNNNNNNNNNNNNNNNNNNNNNNNNNNNNNNNNNNNNNNNNNNNNNNNNNNNNNNNNNNNNNNNNNNNNNNNNNNNNNNNNNNNNNNNNNNNNNNNNNNNNNNNNNNNNNNNNNNNNNNNNNNNNNNNNNNNNNNNNNNNNNNNNNNNNNNNNNNNNNNNNNNNNNNNNNNNNNNNNNNNNNNNNNNNNNNNNNNNNNNNNNNNNNNNNNNNNNNNNNNNNNNNNNNNNNNNNNNNNNNNNNNNNNNNNNNNNNNNNNNNNNNNNNNNNNNNNNNNNNNNNAAAUCCUAGAUUCCCCUUUUACUGAUUUAAACGUAGAUGUAGGGCGUGAGUAUAAACUAGUCCAACACUAUGAUAGCCUUACAUACUUGAAUAAAACAAGGUUCUUGAAGAAUCUUGAAGAAGAACUUGAUUAGAAGCCUUGAAACCCUAGCUUGAAGGUAAACAAUCAAGAAGACCUUUCUUGAGAUUCUCGAGUUAGUUUCUUAAAAUCUCUAUAGCCAAAAAUUAUGAUUUUCAUGAGUGAAGAUGAAAAUCUGAUUGUUUUGAGCUUUUUAUUAGUUCAAGAAAUUCGUUGAUGGUUUUCUUGGAGGUAAAAAGACAAAAACGAUUAUUUUCAAUAUUUUCCCGUCGGCUAAUUCGUAACAGCACUGUAUAGGUUACUAAAAUAGUCAUAACUUUUUACUCAGAUAUUGGAUUGACAUGAAACUAGUGGGGUUAGAAAGUAGAUUCAAUUACCUUUAAUUGGAUAGGUUAUGACUCACGUAACUCUUAAUAUUCUAAGAGAUACGGUCGUUUAAAGUUGACCUAAGCAAAAUUUUACUUCAAAACUUAAUGAAACUUCAAGAACACUUAUCAAGAACUCAUCAAGAACUCUAAUCUUUAAAUUUCAUGAACGAAAUUACGCUAAAUAAAUCAUGAUUGGUGUGUGGGUGAAAGAACCCAACACUAUGGAAGCUUACAUACCUUAAUGGAUUGAAUCCUCGGCGAAAUUCCCAAGCAAUUCCUUACGACGACGAAGAAUCUAGCUUUUUCCUCCUUUUCUCUUUUCUUGCGUUCCUCCUCCAAAACCCUAGCUCUAUUUGGUAAAUGUCUAAAUUGAUCUAAUUCAGUUUAGACCCCUUAUUAAUUACCAAAAACGAUUUAAAAUAAGGGUAAGGAAAAGACCAAACUACCCUUUAAAAUCCGGAUUGGACAUUUCCUUAAUCCAACAGCCCAAUUUCCAAAGGGCAUAUCUUACUCCUACGAAAUCGGAAUCGCGCAAACUUGGCGGCGUUGGAAAGAUAGUUCCAAGAACUUUCCAACCAUAUCUAUAAUUACUCCUAACUCAUCCUGAGCUAGGAGUUAUGAUCAUUUGAAAAUGACAAAAACUCAACUUUUCUUGCUUACAAUUUUCCAGAUUUCCCUUGAACGUUCCAAAAACGAAAAUUUCCAGAUUUAAACUACAUUCUAAUUAUUUCUAGAUGCGGGAUGUUACAGAUUUCACUAAUUAUCACAUGACUUUUGUUUUAUCGUGUACCAAAUUCACUAAAUUAUUUUUCCAUGGUAAUUAUAUUUUCUUCAUACGUUCACACCGACAAGUAAAAGUGAAAAUGUAUUUUUGAAACACUGGACAAAUAAAAAUGAAUAGAGUGAGAGUAAUUAUUUUACAUAGAUUAAUUAAUGAGGAUGAGUUAUCAAGCAAGCUUAAUUACCUCAACUUUUGCAUAGUAGGCCCGGUCUGCUUUACCUUCUUUUUUCAAUUCAUCUUCUAUUUCAUUUAUAAUUUGCUAUUUCAUACAAUUUUUCCUAAUAAUAUACCACAGAAUUUAACAUGGGCCGGGUUCAAACUCUUAUUAUAAUAAUGUUUUUUUAAUGCGUCAUAAUUCAAUAUCAACAUUAAUUUAGGAGAUUUAUGAAAUUAUUUUAUCGCGGAAUUGAAUCCACUAUGACCAUAGUUUGUAUUAUCGAUCAUAGAAAUUAUCACAAAACAAAUUAAUCCUUUGAUUUCUCCAUACACUCAUAUUGUGUGUAUAUUUACUUUUAUAUGUAUACCAUAAAUAUAAAUAAGAGGACGCUAGUUAAUAUAUGCUAACGAGCUAAUUAACAGUAGUACUCUUAUGAAUAAAUCCGACUCAAUAAUAAUUUUCGAGUUUAGUGGUUGGUUGGUUGGUGAGCAUAAUUAAUUAAUACAUUUUUUUGUGAUAAGCAGAACUAACAAACAAGACGUUUUGUCAACACAAUUGGUAAGUGUCUGUUUGACAUUUUCCACAAGCAUUUAUUCGUCGGCAUUAAUAAAACUGUAUGUAUGUGGCUAUUAGAGCCUGUUAUCUUUUCAUAUAUAUAUAUAUAUAUACUAGAUAAUGUUGCCCGUGCUAUGCACGGGACCAAUAAUAUAAAUGGUGUGUUUUGGGGCUAAUAAUCGAGUUUUUGAAGCAAUUGUUUGCGUGGAUAAAGGAAUAAAUUUUUUUAUCACAAACCUGUACUUUCUUUGACGCUAUUUAAGGCAUAAUAAGACAACCCACAUACAACAUUUUUGAAAUAUUUUAUGUUGUCAAUUAUCAUGAUUUAUAGUAUUUUUACGAUAGAUUCACUUCAAGAAUCAGUGGAAUUUUUUGUAUUUUUUUUCAAAACAUAUUUUAUAUUGUCAAUUAUCAUGAUUUAUAGUAUUUUUACGAUAGAUUCACUUCAAGAAUCAGUGGAAUUUUUUGUAUUUUUUUUCAAAACAUAUUUUAUAUUGUCAAUUAUCAUGAUUUAUAGUAUUUUUACGAUAGAUUCACUUCAAGAAUCAGUGGAAUUUUUUGUAUUUUUUUUCAAAACAUAUUUUAUAUUGUCAAUUAUCAUGAUUUAUAGUAUUUUUACGAUAGAUUCACUUCAAGAAUCAGUGGAAUUUUUUGUAUUUUUUUUCAAAACAUAUUUUAUAUUGUCAAUUAUCAUGAUUUAUAGUAUUUUUACGAUAGAUUCACUUCAAGAAUCAGUGGAAUUUUUUGUAUUUUUUUUCAAAACAUAUUUUAUAUUGUCAAUUAUCAUGAUUUAUAGUAUUUUUACGCAAUUUUUAAAUAUAAAAAAAAAUAAGACAAAUAAAUUAAAAUGGACCCAAUAUAUGUUAUUUUUGUUGUGAAAUUUGGAGAGUCGUCCAAAUUUUCAUAUAUUUUUUAAAAAUGUUUUAAGUUAUUAAUUAUUGUGAUUUAUAAUAUUUUUAUGUAACUUUUAAAUAACGUACAUUACUGGUCACUUUGUCCUAAUUUAUGUGAUAUGGAUAAAAUUACAAAAUUAACCCUUUUAAAAUGUCUUUCAGAUAUUUUAAGUUGUUAAUUAUUAUUAUUUAUAAUACUUUUUUGGUAAUUUUAAAAUGAUAUGUGUUAUUUUUUCUGUCCCAAUAUAUGUGAGCCUGAUAGAAUUCUGAGAGUCAACGUAUUUUAUUAUAUAGCUUUUUAAAAUAUUUUAAAAUUGGUAAUUAUUGUAAUUUUUAAUGCUUUUUAAGUCAUUUGUAAAUGAUAUAUGUGCCAGAUCAGUCGAUUUUUUUAUAUGUUUUCUUAAAAAUAUAUUUGAAGUUAUUAAAUUGUUGUGAUUUAUAGUAUUUUUGCGUUAGUUUUGAAUAAUAUAGGUUACUCAUAUUUCAAUUCACGUGAAUAAUAAUAAAUAUUUUCAGUUGUUAAUUUAUUGUGAAUUCUAGAAAUUUUGACGUUAUUUUCAAAUAGUACAUGUUACUUAUUCUAUUCCAAUUAGUCAACCAAAUUCCAUAUAUGAUUUAAAAAUAUUUUUAAUUGCUAAUUAUUGUGAUUUAUAGCAUCUUUUAUGUAACUUUUAAUAAUAUAUAAUUUGUUCAAAUUCAUAUGACAAUGAUAAGAUUUCAAGAGUCAACGCAAUAAAAAUUUAAAUUUUUUAAAAAGUUGUACCUCUAAUAUAUUUUGUAGCUAAAAUAUACUCUCUCCGUCCACUUGUAUUUGUCAUGUUGCGCUUUUUGAAAGUCCAUUUGACUAAUUUUCAAAGUUAAAUCAGAUUGUAUUAAUGUAUUUUUAGAAAAAAAUUUAAAUAUGCAAAAUCUAUACAAAAAGUACUAUAAAUCGUAAUUUUUUGCCUAUGAUUAUGAUGAAAAAACACAUUGUAAAAUAUUAGUUAAAAUUCUUAUAGUUUGACUCUAAAAAGGAAAUCAUAACAAUUAAAAGUGCAUAGAGAGAGUAAUAAAUAGGUAAUUAAAUUUCAAGAAGUUUAAAAUAAAAGGUUGAAAAAAAGAAUUAGAUAGACAACAUUUAUUGAAAAUUGAAAACAUAUAAAUAAUAAAUGGGCCCAAAUGAGGUCAAACUUUUUGGCUUAAAUUGUCCAAUAAUAUAAAUUUUAAAGGUACAACCAUAAAAGAAGAAUGUACAACACUAGCAAGCACAUAUCAUCCAACAUUUGUCAUGUGCUAAGUAGUAGUUAUCCCCACUUAUUAUAUAUAAUAAUAUAUAUACAUAAUUUUAUGUUAAAAAUAUGUUUGAUACGAUAAAAAAAUAUUAUUUCAAAAAUAUUUAUAAUAUAAUCAGACAAACACUCUGAGGUUGGAAGAGGGAUGGAUGAAGGCGAGGGGGAUGGGGGGGGGGGGUGUUGAGAGCCUGUCGGAGCAUGGGUUUCGAGAGGAGGUGUGGUGCAUGGUAGGAUAGGGACGUAGAGACGAGGGUGAACUAGAGAGACAAUCAAGUUAGAAUAACACUAAUGUAAAAUUUAUUUUUUCCAUCAUGUAUACCAUUUUUAGAGAAUACAAGUCACUUACUUUUUUUUAAUAAAAUAUUUUUAGAAAAUUUUGACAAUGAAGAAACACAAAAGAGUCACAUGACUAUGUUUAUUUCAAUGCAAUAUAUUAUAUUCAUUUUUGUAUGAUAUAAAUCCAAUAAAACAUCAACAUUUAAUAUACCAUUUCCCCACAAGAGCCGUCGACUACUUUGCUAACAAAAAGAUUUUGGUGAUCUUAUAAUGUGUCCAAAAUGGAUAAUGAACCCACAUAAAUUCGUAUAGGGGUGUGCAAAAAUCGAUUUAACCAAUAAACUGAACCAAAAAAAACACUAUUGGUUUAUUGAUAUUGGGUUAUUGGGCUAACGGUUUUUAAACGGUUUUGCAAAAAAUUUUAUUGGGUUAUUGGUUCGGUUUCCGGUUUGAUAAUUUUUGUUAAUGGUUAAACCGAUAACCCAAUAAGACUAUACUAAAUUUAUUAGUCUUAUUGUUAAUGGUUAAACGAUUGUUACUUUCACACUUUUUCCUUUGAAUGUGUCUAGUGUCUAAACUUGCAAGAAAAAUGAUUGUUACUUUUAUGAUUAUUACUUUCAUGCCAAAUGCUGGAAAAAUCAUAUGGUUUAUUUGAAAAUUUUCUUAUCGUGUAUAUAAUAUAUAUGAGUAUUUUCUUAUUGGUUAAACCGAAAACCGAACCGUUAAGUACCAUAAACCGAUUAACCAAAAACCGAUAAGAAAUAUGUUAUUGGUUUGGUUAUCAGUUUGAAGUAUUUACAAACCGAAAACCGAUAAACCGAACCAAUAACACCUAAAACCGAACCGAACCGAACCGACCGAUGCUUGGUUAUCGGUUUGAAGUAUUUACAAACCGAAAACCGAUAAAUCGAACCAAUAACACCUAAACCGAACCGAACUGAUCGAUGCGCACCACUAAAUACGUACGGUUGAGAAAUAUAAUGUUUUGUAGUUUUGAAGGUCUGAUUGGAUUUAAUCAUUGAAAUUUAUUGAGAUUUUGAUAUUAAUAGGUUGAACGUCAAAUUUAAUUUCGUGUUCAUCUAUCAGAAACUUUCGGAUAAUAUAUUCUAAAAUUAAAACAUAAUUUAUAUUAAAAUCACAAUAAUCUGUCCGAUAAAUUUGUAGCGAGACAAGUCUUUAUCUAUCGAUCCAAAUUUAAAGAUAUCAAAUUAGACUUUUUAUGUAGAUAAAUAUGUAUCAGUUUGUUACAUGUACGUUUAACUUAAAUAUAAUGCAACAAAUUAUAUAUAGUACUUGUCAUGUGUAUGAACUCAAAUGUGAAAUCUUCACUAAAUUUCUUCAGCUGCCGACUGAAUAUUGGUCCACACAUUAAUUCCAUAAAUGCAUGUUCCCGCUCUAGGGGCGGAUCUAGAGUAUCGAGCGUGAAUUUUCAGAAACGUAAUAAUUUUUACAUAAAUCUUCUAUUUAUAUUAAAAAAUCUAUUAAUUAUAUAUAAAAUAUUUGUUGAAAAUCUAAUAACAAAAUAAGUUCUUAGUUCAAUGGUAGAAACGAAACCUACUUAAGUUUUCAGUGAGGGUUUAAUACUUUAAUUCCUCUUGGGUACUUAUAUUAAAGUCCUCUUUUAAAAUAAAAAAUAAAAAAUUGAGAUCGUUAAAAGCCCAUAAACUUUAAAUUCUGAAUUUGCUUCUGUCCGCUACAUCCAAAUAAUACUCUCUUCAAUCAUUUUAUCCAUUCAAAUCUUUCUAUAAAUAGAACCCAACAAUCUCUCAAUUUCAUCAUCCUUUAAUUAAUUCAAAUAUCAUAAGGGAAACAAAAAAAUGGGUUCCAAGGCAUUUCUGAUUCUUGGCCUUUUUUUGGCCAUAUUUGUAAUGAUAAGUUCUGAGGUUUUAGCUAGGGAGUUGGCUGAGACUUCCACCACUACUUCUGAAGAGGAUUGUAAGUCUAUCCAUUCAGUAUAAUAUAUUUUUAUAAUUUAUUUCGAAAAUAUUGAGUUCAGAUGAAUAUUUCUACUUGUGCUCUAGAUGCUAGCUUGACCAAUUAUUCUUACUAAUUGUUCAAUUUAUAUAAUUAGUUUUACAUUUUGCAUGUAUAUUACGAUAACAAUAAUAACAUAUUCAGUGUAAUGUCAUAAAGGAUAUGGGAAGGUGGUAUGUACACAACUAUACUCUUAUCAUGUGAAGAUAGAAAAGUUGUUUAAUUCGAUCCAUUCUCGACUCAAGUAAAACAUAAGGUAGUCCAUGCUGAACCUAAUGAAAUUUUGCAUAUAUAUUACUAUAUAGUAUAUUUUAACCUUCUGAACUUUGACGAGAAAUCUCCAUAUAAGUUAUGGAUUACAGAACUUUAUAAUGCAGAGUUGGUAUUAAACAAAAAUGUUCCCUCCGUUUUAAUUUAUUUGUUUGGUUUUGACGUAUGCAGAUUUUAAAAAAAAGUAACGAGAAUUUUUGAAUCUUAUGAUUUAGAAUUUUUGAAUCUUCUGAUAUUAAACAUACCACGUGGAAAAGCUAAAAUAAGGAGUUGCCAAAGAAGGAAAGUCUCAUUUUUUUUUAGGCAUAAAAAAUAGUAAGAAAAAUAAAUCGGAAAUAAUAUUUUUUGAAAAAAAAAAACCAAGUUAAGAAUAACAUUCUUGUUUACGUAAUUGAUGCAGCCAAGAAAUCCAGUAACAAAAAUGAAGUACAUGAAGCCGAAUAUGGCGGGUACCCUGGUGGUGGCGGUGGCGGUGGAUACCCUGGCGGCGGCCGUGGUGGUGGUGGUGGUGGAUACCCUGGCGGUGGUGGUGGCAGCCGUGGUGGUGGUGGUUGUGGAUCCCCUGGCGGUGGCCAUGGUGGUGGUGGUGGCGGCCGUGGUGGUGGUGGAUACCCUGGCGGUGGUGGUGGCGGUGGUGGAGGCCAUGGUGGUGGUAGAUACUCAGGCGGUGGUGGACGUGGUGGUGGCGGCGGCCACGGUGGACGUGGUGGUGGCGGCAGGAAGUGUUGUUCCUAGAUACAAAGGUGAAUGAAUAGUAAUAUAUAAGUAUCACCUUGUACUAAUUAGUGGCAAGAUGUAGUAGUAAUAUUCUUGCUGCUUUAAAUUUGGAGCUUAUUGUAAGAAUUAUUAUCAAGAAAUAAAAGCCAUCAUGUAAUGUUUGUUAAUUAUGCUAUGGUAUGAUAAUACUUUCCUUUGGCUGGGUUUGAGAGAGAGAGCGUGAGAUAGUUGGUCUAAUAACUAGUCCAACUUCCUUGUAUCUGAAAGCGAUGACAGGAUGUUAGGUCUAGUAAGGAGACUUUUUGGAUAAUUUACUUCCACGAAUAGAUUGUUAGGCUAAGAAGAAUAGGUUGGGAUUGAUCCCACCUUUGAAAGAGUGGUUUUGCUCUGUCAAUACGGUGUUUUACUUUUGGGCGGAAUUCUCACUUUAUAUAAUUAUUUAAAUUUAUAAUUUCAUAUUAUUAUAAUUUGUUCGACUAACCGUUCACUAUUAUUAUCAAUAUCAAGUAUCAAUAUACACCAAUAGUGUAAAUUUGCUUAUAUUUUUCUCUUCGAUUUCCAUGGAACUCAUCACAUUUAUUAUGAAACAUACGUAUAAUAUCCAAAACUAUGUAAAUUCAGAUUAGGCAAAAUUGAGGGCAUUUAUUAUUCCACGAUUUUAUGAAAUGUUUUGAAUUAUUGAUUAUUGUAGCUCUUUUUUGAAAAACUAAUUAUAGUAGUAUGACUUAUAAUACUUGGUAUUUGGGUCAAAACAUGUGAUUUUAAAAAAAAAAUUGAAAAAAUCAAUAUUUGUCUGAAUUCACAAAAAAAAUUCGAGGCACCAAUUCCAUGGCACUAAUGUCACAUCUGCAUGAAAUUAUACAAAAAAUAAAUAGUUUGAUUCUUACACGUGAUCAAAUUACCGCCACAUAAAAUGUAACGAAGGGAAUAACAUUGUUAUACUUUACCUCUCUAUUGCAUUUGUGAAAAGCUCAAGUUCAUCAAAUGUUGCAUAAGCAUCAAAUGUAUCAUCAACAAUGCUAAUGAUGGCAAUUAUUUUUCCUGUCAUUAUUCUUGCACGACUCUGUUGAGGCUCAAAAUGCAAUCCAACUGCUCCAAAAUAACACUCCACCAAUCUGUCUCUUGCAUAUGAAAAUUUAUUUGCAACAUCGAUAUUUUUCCACCAUCUAUAGUAUAAAAUAUCAAAUAUAUAUUAAUUAGGGAUUAGUUACGUAAGAACCAUAAUUAUGAGAUUGAAGAGGGUAUAAGAGUACUAAUCUUUACCUUGUAAGUUCGCUAAGCUCUCUUUGGUACACCUUUUGCAAAAUAUUGAAAUCCAAUUUCGCAAAUUUCAAAAGUAAAUUGUUACGUGAUUCAUCGUUCUCAUACAUAUAUAUGUUUUUCCUUGCUAACAAUCUUGGUAGAUUUGUAUGAAUGGGCUGGUUUAAGGCUUCACUAACUUGGGCCUUGACUGAGUUGCCCAAUUUAGGGGCCAUGGACUCCAGAUGAGUGACGGUAAAAGUUAGAGCUUCUUCAAGAAUUUCCUCUCCGUGUACUCUUAGAUGUGUUGCUUCGUAUAGACUUAAUAAUCCUUGCACAUCUUUAGUAAGAGUUUCCUUGAAUAUUCCGUCAUGAUUGGUGAAUUUUUUGAAGACAUCUGAUUUCACAUCAUAAUAUAAUUAUAUCAAAGAAAUUAAUAAAGAGCCACACAAAAUAGGAAUAAAUUAGUUACCAGAAGACAUGUAAUGUCUUUGUUGUCUCACUAGUCGAAAUUGAAGAGCAACAACGUAUAGAUCGUCAUCAUUUUUUAGACUCUUCAAAAAUGUUCUGAAUGGAUGUUUCGAUGUCAUUUUUGAAAUGAUAUGCCACUCCCAAUCGUUGGAUUGUGUCAAUCAAAACAAGUUUUUGUGUACUAUUAUUAGGUGACUCAACUAACAUUUGCCUUACUUUUUCUUUCAACUCUUCAUGUUCAUGUUUUUCUUUGCUACUAAUUUCCUGCACCAAAUGUUAAGUGUUAUUAUUUGACAUAGAGUAAUACCUCCAUUAUAUAAUUUAAUCAUAGGGAUUAGGGAAAAUAAUUAUUGCCUGUUUAUGCAACAUUUGAUUGACUGUAUAAGAAAAGGUUUGUAAAUGGAUACACUACCAAUAUAAUUGCCCUAUUAAUUAGGUCAAUUUAGCUAGGCGUUUGGACAUGAAUUAUAUUAAUGUUAUUUGAGAAAUAAUAAUUAGUAUUUGAAGAUGAAGUUUGUUGACACCCAAUUUUGACCUUCCCCGAUAAGAAUNNNNNNNNNNNNNNNNNNNNNNNNNNNNNNNNNNNNNNNNNNNNNNNNNNNNNNNNNNNNNNNNNNNNNNNNNNNNNNNNNNNNNNNNNNNNNNNNNNNNAAUUAGUUUAUAAUUAAGUUAAUUAUUUUAUUUCAUUGAAAUCAAGAAGCUCGUUAAUUAAUUAUAUUUAUUCAUCCUAUCUAAGUUUUAGCCAAAUUCACUAGUGAAAUACAUUGAUCAAAUCAAUAGUUCAUGUGGUUAUAUUAAAUGACCAAAACGUGGGCCUCUUUUACAAGUUCAGCAGCCCAUCUCUUUUUCCAAUUCCUUUUCACCUUUCCAAACCAAUUGGAAAUUCCCCACAACCCAGGCCCAUCCUCUGUUUCAGCCACAACUCCAGCAAAUCCCAUAUGUUACAACACCAAUGGCCCCAACGAUCCAGCCCAAUUCCCAUCCGACCCGGUCCACCAAUACACAAAAAUAACCCCAACAUUACAAUACCCACCAAACACACAAUACGUAUAGCAACACCCAAAACAGUACCCUGUGUUUUUCCCCAUUCCAGACGCGACAAAAGUCGAAACCCAGCGAUUCCAGCUCUAUUUUCAGCAAAGGGUCGUCCUUGCAGUUGUGAGAUGAGGCCACGUCGAGCUCCAAGGACGAUGGGAAUCGAUCCAGCCGUCCAUCCUCCAUUCCUUUUCCGGAAUGAAGUUGAAAUUUCAGAAAAAAGCUUGUUUUCCCCUUAAUGGUGUAAGUUUUUUUUGAGGAUUUGAAUUUCAAAUUGGGCCCUUCUAUCCGGAUUUUCAUCCGUUUUCCCCCCAUUUUUCGGAAUCAUAUUCUCCCUUCUAUAUAAUUGUUUUUGUUCACUGUGGGAAGGGGAGGAUUUUUUUUGGGAAAAAAAAUAUAGAAAGUUAGCCGAGCUUUACUCACAAAGGCAUAGUUUACAGGAGGUUUUGAGGAACACUCGAUUUUACGUUUUGAUAAAUUAUUGGAAAAACUUUCUAGUUCAAGGUUCUGGGAAGAUAGUUAUUCGGGUUUCAUUUAGUUUCUCUUGGUGUGCUGUUGGAACUCUUGAAGUUUUGUGUGUGGUGGUGGAAGCUCUCACGGCUAGCCUCGUCCCGUCCCCGUUCGCUGCUCGGAAAAGGUAAUAUCUCUUUUCUUCCGCGUCUUGUUUAGACUUUGGAUAAACCUGUUUCUGUGGAGUUCUUUUUUUUUGGGGUUUCAUUUUGUUCUAAUCUUAUUUUGAUUAGAAUACUCAUGGAUGAAAACUUGUUUAGUUUGAAUACAAGUGUUUAAAUUACUCCCGAAUAUGUCAUGCUUACGUUCUUGAGCGAUCCCUUUUUUAAAAACAUUUUUUCUGUAUCUAAUGCUAGUAUUGAUUCAAAAUGUUGCUGAUUCGUAUUCAAUGUUGUUGUUUCCCCUGCUUGCUCUAGUUUUUGCUUUUGCUUAUUCCUCUUAUCAAAUCCUCUGCUUGAAUCUCGUCGAACCCACUUUUCUCCACCCCUGCCCAUUUUAAAUUUAUCUUCACUUGUCUAUUUUUUUUUUAGCAUGAUUUGAUUUAUGUUUUCUGUCGAAGUUAAUAUCCUAAAUGAUCUCUCAACUUAGAUAUUUAUGUCAAUAAAAUCACUCAACAAAUUUAUCAUCAUUAAGAGAAAUCUGAAAUGACAAAAUAAUUUACUUUUUUUAUAGCAUGUAAAUAUGAAUUUCACAAAUAAAUAAAUUUUUAAAACCCAUUAAAACUUUUGACGGAUAUACUUUUUUUUACUAAGUAGGCGUUACUUAAAGGCGCAUAAUGUUGCUGCCAAUUUGAUUAAACUAUUAUAAAAAAUGGAAAGAUGUCUUUUAAUGAUAUAAUUUCCUAAUUGGAUUAAAUUAUUAUAAAAUAAAAAGAUGUCUUUUAAUGAUAUAAUUUCCUUUUUUUUAUGUUGAUAGAUUUGAACGGGUUAUUUCAAUAAAACGACGACACUAAUUAAUUGUUUAUCUAAUUUAUAAGCAUAUUUUAUUAAUACCAAAAAAAAUAAUAAUAAGUUUAAAGUGUAUGCGGUACUUCAUUUUAUUUUAUUUUCAUACACCUAUCAUAAUUAUUGCAAAGGUUAAAUACAUAAUAAUAUUACAAUACCCAGUUUACUAAUUAAGUUUGUUCUGCAUUGUUUAAGCAUGAGUAUCUUUCUCUAUAAUUUUGCUCUUUUAAUAACUUUUAAAGUUGCUUGUCACUUGCCUCUCCUUCAAAUUACUACUAUGUAUUAAGCUUUGGGCCACAAUAUUGAAAUGGUUACCAUAGAUAUAGCAGUAGCCUUAAUUUUCGGCAGUUGGGAUCUUAUACGUUGGAAAUCUGGCAUUCAAUUAUCAAAUGCCAUUGUGACUUACAUGUCUUCUAUCAACUUGUUUCUUUUUUUUGUAAGCUCGGACAAGUCUUUUCUUUUGGAUCUAAAAUUAUUAGUGUUUAACGUCAUGGAAUUAAUGUUAACAACUUAGUUUCCCCACUUCUCAAAUCUUUCAUUGCCUGACUGUUUAGCAUGAUGCGUCUUGAUCAAGUAUUUACUUCUUCUUCUUUUUCUAGCUAAGGAUCGCGUUUAGUGUAGUGUGACAUUGUUAGCUAAGCUACUGCCAGUUGUUUGCUAUAUUGAUAAGUCGUGCUCCUUUUUGAUACAUUCAUUAUUUAGUGAUUGGUUCAGAUAUAUUAUUGCGGGUUACUAAUUCUCAUUUUUGUGUUUGCAUGUGAAAUCUAUCCGGGUCCUCUGGAUCCCCUCCUUGUAUUCCUCUUUGGGCCAUGGAGGCCCAAUUCUAUUUUUAUCCGAGCCAGCCUAUUAAAAAAUUGACGAACAGGUCCCAAAGUUGAAAGAUGCCAUAUAUCGAGAAAUUGAAAGUUUGGGUUUUAAAAGGCCCACUCCUCUUUAAGAAUUGUAUUUUGUUAUUAUUGGGCCUAAGCCCUCGCCAUUUUACUUACUAUUACUUGUUAGUUCUUAGAACAGGUGAAAAUUGGGCCAAAGGCCCAAAAUGAAAAUGGGCCCAAAUACUGGCCCAGGCGGACAGAAAAAACCAGAUUUGGGCCCAAAUCUCUUUCCCUCCUUUAUUUGUUGUGUUUAUUUACUCGUCACUAUCUGCUAUUAGUCUUAAGGGUUUUAAAAUUUUCAAAUCCCCAAAAGACACCCAUUUUGAAUUAAUUACUUAACCAAUUAUUCGUCUUUACUUGACUUAAAUAAUAAAUAAAUAAUUUCACAAAAAUUUUUCACUUAGAUAAUAUUUCAAUAUUUCCCCCCUUUCCCCUUUAAAAAUAAUUCUAACUAUAAAAUAGUUCAAAUUUUUGCAAUUUAAGUUAAAGUCAAAAUUAUUUUAGCCAAAUAAAUUGAUUGUUGGAUAACCGCAUUAGCGGAUAUUCUAGGUGCCUUAAAAACCUUCCUAGAAUAUUAAUAGGAACCUCGAACCCCUCUUUAAAUAGUUUUCAAUAGAUUUACUGUUUUAGUCUUUUGAAAACAAUAGUUUUCUUGAUUUUUCUUAAAAAUUAAGUGGCGACUCUUAAACAAGUCCAAAAUAAUAUUUUCCUAAUAAAACAAAGUUGAAAAAUAGUUUGAAGUUAAAGUUGUAUUUGAACAUGCGUAUUUCAAAACAAGUGUUGUGAAUCCCGAAGAGAAUUGGUUUGUGAAAAACUCAUAUUAAAAAAUUAGCCAAAAAAUCGUACUUAUAAUAUGCAACUAAACACUACUCUGAAAAUAUUUUUAGAAAAAAAAGUAAUAGAUUGCCCCCGGCCUAGAGUUGUUCGAAAAAGUCACUUACACAUUGAAACUUUGGGGACAAUCUAUUACUCCCUUUAUUUUGAUUAAAAUGAAAUCAAUAUCCCUCAAAGUUCAGAUAGUCAACCAAUUGAAUUACUAUCCAUUUGUCCAGAACUUUCACCUAGUUUGACUACCUAAACAUUCAUACGAUUGGUGAGGGUUUGAACCUUUUUUUUUUUUUUAACAGCAAUGAAGAUUCUAUUUCAAAGCAAAAGGUUACAGAGGAGGACCAAACCUUACCUCAUGCAAGAGUAGCUAAAUAAAGCAAUUUUAGCUUCCAAAAAUAAAGCAAAAGAGGAAGAUCACAAAUAUAAAGCAUGCAACCACCAACGGAUGUGGUGAAGCAGAUAAGAUUGCUCCUUCCUUAACCAAAGAUCUCGGGUUUGAGUCUGGGUAUGAAAAAAUUGAACGUUUUUUCCCGAACGGAGUCCUACUCAGCACGAAUCCAAAAUAGUCAGACUCUAAUAAUGAGUGUGAAAGCAUUAGUUAAUUGUCAUUGCAUUCAAUGUUGUUAUAGGCUUGAAGGAAAUUUACAAAGAGUAUUAUUUACCUGUUGAAACACAUAUUUAGCAGCAAUCAAGCUAUAUCGUUAAUUAAUUACAUAAAUAUCCUCUCUUUUUUAAAUUUCAUACUUAAACUAUCACUCACUAAGGAGAAAAAAUGGGUUCCAAAAGCAUUUCUGAUUCUUGGCCUUUUUAUGGCCAUAUUUGUAAUGAAAAGCUCUGAUGUUUUAGGGAGUUGGCUAAGACUUCCACCACUUUCGAAGAGGACUGUAAAAUUAUUUUGAUCUUUCUAAUUAGUGGUUCACUAAAUUAAGUACUUAAUGUUCCUUGCCUCUAUAGGUGAUGAGGCAAUGGACAAAGAGCCACACAAUAGAUUAAGGAUAAUGCUAAAUGGCCAGAAAAUUUGGUCAGAAUUUGGUCAGAAUUUAAAAAGUCUAUAAUAUCCUUUUUACUUUAAAAUAAACUAAUCUUUUUUCCAUUUUUUAAUUAAAAGAUAUUAAAGUUAAAAGGGUAAAAAUGCUCAAAAAGAUAAAAUAACAUAGUGUGAACUAUGUUAUUUUAUCAUUCUGCAAUUUUCUGGCCAAAAAGAUUUUUCCAUAGAUUAUUUAUGUGGAUUGUGGAGCAAUAUAUUAAAACUAGAUAUGGACCUCGUGUUAGCACAGGGCCCAACAUAUAUUACGUUAAUCAAUUUCUUAACAUGUUUUUAUAUAUUAGAGUUAACCAAGGUUUUAUAUAUAUUUACAAAUAUAUAGAGAGAGAUUUUUUGAGUUGCUAAUUACUGUGAUUUAUGGUAUCUUUUUUACGUAAUUUUCACAUAAUAUAUAUUUCUCUUUUUGUGUUGAUUUAUGUGAUAUAAAUGAAAUUUCAAAAGUCAAUCAAUUUUUUUAUAAAUUCUUUUUGAUAUUUAAGUUAUUAAUUAUUGUGAUUUACAAUAUAUUUUAUGUAUUUUAUAUAAUAUAUCUCUCUCUUUAUCCCAAUUUAUGUGUAUAGAUGAAAUUUUGAGAGUUAACAAAAUAUUUUUAUAUCUUUUCAAAUAUUUUGAAGCUAUUAAUUAUUAUGAUUUAUACUACUUCUUACAUAAUUUUUUAAUAUAUAUAAAGUGAUAAAAGACAAAUUUUAAAAAAAGAAAACUUUAAGUUGCCAAACUACCCCUUGCUACAAGCAGGCAUGUUGAUGAAGAGUUGCCAGCUUGUAGCCUCAUCUAUAGUAUAGUAAUAAUAAUAUAUAUACAAGAUACGAGAUCCGUGCCAGCAUGGCCCAAUAUAUAUUAUUUUUAUUUUUAUUUAUGUGACACGGAUGAAACUUGAGAAGUUAUUCAAAAUUUUAUAUGAUUUUUAAAAAUAUUUUAAGUUAUUAAUUACUGUGAUUUAUAGUUUUUUUAAGCGAUUUUGAGGUAAUAUAUAUUAUUUCGUUUUUCCAAUUUAUGCGGCAUAGAUAUAAUUUCAAAACUUAAUUAUUUUUAUGUCUUUUAAAUUGUUAAUUAUUGUAAUUUGCAGUACCUUUUACGUAAUUUUUAAAUAAUUUUUGUUACUUCUCAUGUCCCAAUUUAUGUGGUAUUGAUAUAAUUUCGAGAGUUAGCCAAUUUAGUUUUUGUCUUUUAAAUUUUUAAGUUGUUAAUUAUUGUGAUUUAUAAUACUUUUAACGUCAUUGUCAAAUAAUAUAUGUCAUUUCCUCUAACCCAUUUUUUGUGUCACUCGUAGAAUUUUGAGAGUCAAUUGAUUUUUUUAUAUGACUUUUAAAUAUUUUAACUUAUUAAUAAUUGUGAUUUUGUCACGCCCCAAACCUGUACCCCGGAUGUGGCUGACACUCGAGAACCAUUGUUGGCCCCAAGCGAACCCUUGGUCUGGCUUACUUACUCAGUGAAAGACUUUAAGCAUUAUUAUAAUGAUCAAAUGCACUUCUACUCAUUGUUUAAUAAAAUAACUUAGAGCGUUUGAAGGUCAAACAUUCAACUUGGCCAAAAUGGCAACUCCAGUCUUAACAUAUGAAAUAAUAAUGUAAAUACAACUGAACUACUGAUUGUCUAUGAAGCCUCUAAAACAAGAAGGGAUGUCGGGACAAGACCCUCAAUCAUCCUAGCAAAUGAAAUACUAAAAGCAAAUGAUAAAAAGGAGCCCUCCGGAAAGCAAAGAGGCUCACCAACUGACUCUGAAUGCUUAACUGGAUCAACGAGGUGCUGGAUGAUGAUCUUGGUUACCUGUGUCUACAUCAUAAUAAGAUGCAGGCUAAAUGACAUCAGUACAUUGAAUGUACGAGUAUGCGAGGGGAAUUCUAAAACAAGACAUAAGCUUGAAAGAAACUGAGAACUUACCUGGCUCAACUCAACUCAACUUAAUUAACUGAACUCAUUUCAAUAUAAAGCAAUAUAAAACAAGUGCAAUAUAAAGAAAAGCUAUUUAAAACAUGUAUGUCAACUCUGUGUAUUUGGAAAUACAAAAAUACUCUGUAUGUAAGCAAAGAUACACAUAGCUCUGAAAUGUAUGUAAAAUACAAAUAAACUGUGUAUAUAAGAAUACAAUUAAUUAUGUGGAAGUUUCUCUAACUGACAACCAUCACUUAAGAGCUAUAGUGAUGAUACANNNNNNNNNNNNNNNNNNNNNNNNNNNNNNNNNNNNNNNNNNNNNNNNNNNNNNNNNNNNNNNNNNNNNNNNNNNNNNNNNNNNNNNNNNNNNNNNNNNNNNNNNNNNNNNNNNNNNNNNNNNNNNNNNNNNNNNNNNNNNNNNNNNNNNNNNNNNNNNNNNNNNNNNNNNNNNNNNNNNNNNNNNNNNNNNNNNNNNNNNNNNNNNNNNNNNNNNNNNNNNNNNNNNNNNNNNNNNNNNNNNNNNNNNNNNNNNNNNNNNNNNNNNNNNNNNNNNNNNNNNNNNNNNNNNNNNNNNNNNNNNNNNNNNNNNNNNNNNNNNNNNNNNNNNNNNNNNNNNNNNNNNNNNNNNNNNNNNNNAUUUACUCUUUACUGAAAACUAGCUCAAAGGCUCUUUUGGAAAUCUCAGUUUCCUUUCUUAUUUAACAUGUGAAAACAUUUUAACUAUUUGGGAAUACAUAGUCCCCAUAUACUUUGAAGAAAUGAACUUCAACUUUACUCUUUACUCAACUCAAAACUCAAGUCUUAAAACAAAGUUAAAUCAUUUGUAAAAGACUUUUAGAAGACUCUAUGAACUUCUCUUGACUUGGCUCUUAACUUAUCUUGACUUGACGCUUAACUGAUCCUUGAAUUGAAUUAUGGAUUCAAGGAUUGAGAUUUGUGAUAGGAAAGAUCUCAUGAUGUUUAGGAGUGUUUUUAGAUAGUUAAACAUGAGAAAUGAUCAGGAAAUCACUGUCUGGAAGCAAGUCCGCGACGCGGAGAUGCAUUUAAUUAUUUGGUCGUGAAAUAAAUUUUGAGGCAGAACGGUCCGUGACCGCUCCGCUCCGCGAAGAAAAAUUGUCAAUUCUGAGGAACAAGUCCACGACGCGGACCUGGUACCUAGAUUCUGCCGACUUGUUCCUUCUUCGUUUUCUAACCCCAAAUCACCUAAAUUCGAUUCUUUUUCUCCUAUUCUCUUUAGAUUCAGAUACCCAACAUAUGUACACAAGAAUCUAAUCAAACACAACUCUAAAAUCAACCUUAAAGUCUAAAGAACUCCACAAUCUCAUCCCAAAUUCAAGAAUGAAAGUAAAUUCAAGAACAUUCGAACUUUCAACUUUUAAGAUGAAUUCAUGCUGAAUUAAACAUGUUUGGCGCGUGAGUGAACGAAUCCAACGCUGUGUGAACUCACAUACCUCGUAGGGAUCACCCCUUGACGAAAUCCACAAGUGAUUCCUUACGAAGACGACGAAUCUUGAACUUUCUUCUCCUUCUCCUCUUUUCUCUUUUCUCCAAGCCCUAGCGCGAACUUCAACUUUUCUAAACUAACUAAAAUCUUAUUUGAUCCCAAUUAAUUACCCAAAAACGAAAUAAAGUAAUUGGGUAAGGAAAAGACCAUAUUGCCCUUCAAAAAUUCGGAUUAGACUUUCCUAAAUUGAACAGCUCAACUUCAAAUGGGAAUAUCUCACUCAUACGAACUCGGAACCGCCCAAACUCGGCGGAGUUGGAAAGAUUAUUCCAAGAUCUUUCCUACAACAUCUGGAAACACACCUAACUCAUCCUGAGCUAUAAGUUAUGGUCGUUUGAAGUUGACCAAAAAUCCAACUUAACAUACCUAACAAAUUUUCCAGAUUUUUAUAUUCUUUCCAAAAAUGACUAUUUCACUUAUUAACUUCUAUCUAGUUCUUUCUAGUUACGGAGAGUUACAGAUUUAAAGUAUUAUUAGUGUAAUUUUCAAAUAUAUAACAGGUUAAAAAAAGAGUAAGACAAAAUUAAAAGGAAAAAAGUGCAGAAUUAAUGGUCAAAUUAAUAUGACGCAAAUGAAAUUUGAAGAGUCGGUCAAGUAUUGUAUAUAUUUUUUUUUUAAAAUUAAGUUAUUAAUUAUUGUGACUAAUAAUACUUUUAACAUCAUUUUUAUAAAUAAUAUAUGUUCCUUCUUUUAUCCUAAUUUAUGUGGCACAAUAGAAUUUAGAGAGUCAAGCAUUUUUUAUAUAAUUUUUCAAUAUUUGAACUUUUGUAAUGGCAAUUAUGAUAUAUAGUAACGCUCCAUGCUAUUUGGGGCGUACAUAUCAGUUUGAUUUAGUUUUCUAUUAAACUAAAUCUAAAUUAGUCAUGUCAAUUUAUUAAAUUUUAAAAUCAAAUAAAAUCACAUAAAGUCAGGUUUUUAAUUUUGGUUUUAGUUGGUUUUUUCAAUUUUUUUCAAUUAUAUGGUGAUUGAAAAAGAGAUUAAAUAUACUUUCACUUAUCGGUGUGAUAAGCUAAACUUUAAAAACGUUAAAUGAAUAGAAAUCUUCAAAAAGGCGGUAAAAUUGAUAUGAGUACAAAAUAAUUCUGUUGAAAUCAUUAUGUUAAAUUUAUAUGAUUAAAGGUUCCAGUCACACUGGAUACAAAACAAAAUAUUUACAGAGUAGAUAGUUAACUUCGAAUUUAAAAAACUAUAUUGUAACUUCCGAUUUGAAUAUAAAAUAAAAUAUUUAUAAAAGUUUACAAGUCCAAAUUUAAAAUAAUAUAUCUAAACAUUGAAAACUAUAAAUUAAUAAAAAAUAUAUUAACAAAAUAGAUUAUAACUAAUUAUUUUUAUCUAUAAAUUAAAAAUAAAAUAAUAUAUAUUAUGUCGGUCUGGUUUGGAUUUGGUUUGAUUUUUUUUCUUUUAAGAUAUUUCAGUUCGAAAAAAAAUUUGAUGACUAGAUCACUGAUCUAAUUUCUUUAAUCACGAGUAAUUGAGCUUUAGUUGAUUUUUUUUUCUUUAUCUACUAAAAUAUUUCAGUUGCUAAAAUUGAUGACUAGGUCACUAAUCUAAUUUCAUAAUCACGAGUCUAUUAUUAUUAACGGAUUUCUAGUUGAUUUUUUCUCUAUAACUACUAAGAUAUUUCAAUUCGCUAUUGAUCUAUUUCUUCAAUCACAAGUCUAUUAUUUACUGGAAUAAUCUAGAAUAUCUCCAACACACAAGGGUAGGUCUUUGGACUGAAUUUGUUGCUAUCCUUGAUAUAUGGAAAACAUCUACAUCCAAACACUUUUAAGCUAUUGUAAUCAGGUUGUUCCCCAUACAACUUAACAAAUGGAGUCACCAUCUUUAGGACUGAGGAGGGCAGUCUAUUGAUGAGAAAUACUGCAGUGAGGAAAGCCUCAACCCAAAGAAACAAAGGUAGAUUAGCAUGAAGUAGUAGAGUUAAGCCAGUCUCCACAAUAUGCCUAUGUUUUUUCUCUGCAACUCCAUUUUUUUCAGGUGUGUUAGGACAGGAAAUAUGUCUCACGAUGCCACAAUCUUCCAAAUGCUUAAUGAAGUCUGUUUGGAUAAACUCACCAUUUCCAUCACACUAAAAAAUCUUAAUUUCUUUAGAAAAUUAUUUUUCCACCAUUUUCUGAAAUUUUAUAAAGACCUCAAAGAAUUCAGAUUUCUUUUUCAGUGGAUAAAUCCAUGUAUAUCUCGUGUGAUCAUCAACAAAAACAACAUAAUAUUUCAUAUGUUGGGAAGAUUCGACAGGAGCAGGUCCCUAUAAAUCACAAUGUAUUUUCAAUAAAGGUUCUUUAUCAAUUUUAUUUCUCAAACCAAAUGAAAGUUUACAACUCUUUCCCAACUGACAACUGAAACAAACAGUAGGCAUUUUAUUUCAACUACUAAUAUUGAUGCAACUAUUACUAUUCAAAACUUUCAAAGACUUCAAACUAGGAUGUCCUAAUCUAGUAUGCCACAUGUUAUCUGACGUGUUUCAAUCAUGUGCAGCAGUCAAAGCAUAGUGAUUGUUAUCUUCCAAAGCAUAGAGUCCAUUCCUUUUAGUUCCCUUGGCCAGCAGUGUCCUUGUCUUCUUAUCCUUUACAACAAAGUUAUUUUCAUCAAAUUCAAGAGUGCAACAAUUAUCCUUUGCAAGCUUACUAAUUGAGAGUAAAUUUUUAUUAAUCUUAGGGCCUAUAAGAACUUCUUUUAACUUUAGACCUGAUCCGGAUAUGUUUCCAACAUGUGUUAUAACUAACUUUGAUCCAUUCCCAAUAAUGAUUUUAUCUGUUCCAUUGUAGUGUUUAAGAUCAGUUAGGAUACCUGAGUUAUGUGUCAUAUGGCUACUUGCUCCUGAGUCCACAUACAAUGUGUCAUCAGUAGUGUUUUGUAGAUUAGUAGCAGUCAAUGCUUGUGAUAGCUCAUCUGCGGCUUGGUAAGAGUAAUCUCACCUGUAAAAACACUUAAGAGCAGUAUGGUUAUUCCUACCACAGAUUUGACAUGCAUCAGUACUGUUCCUCUUAUGACUUCCACUUGAAGAAUUGUUCUGAGGACCUGAUCCGUUUCAGUUGUUAUAAGAACCUGUUCCUUGGCCAGCAGGCUUAAAGUCUCUUCCUCUAGAAUUGAAAUUAUUGUUUCCUCUUCUUUGAGAGUAGUUUCCUCUUCCCCUGCCUCUUUGGGCAGAGAAUGUCAUGUUAUGAUUUUGCAUCCUCCCUCAUAUCAAAACCCCUUAGAGCAUUAACAAAUUGAUUAAGAGUAGGAUAUGGUGUCUUACCUAGCAUGACAGUCCUGAAGGUCUUGUACUUAAGACCUAGACCUCUAGCAAAAUUAAUCACUUUGCUAUCUUCAUCUACAGGCUUGUGAAUGGCUGCAAGGCCAUCGCAUAUGCCUUUGAAUUCCUUAAUCUAAGGUGAGAACAUUUUUCUUAUUGGUUUCAUGUAUAUGAGUGUCUAUGGAAAUUCUUUGUGGGACUGAAAAUGUCAUUGUCUCUUCCUUCUAUAUGCCAAAAUAGUGAAUUUUGAAGUUUUAUUCAGUAAAUUCAAUGAUCGAAAGUUCUGUAAUGCCAGUCAUUCUAACUAUUUUUUUGUUUGAAUGGAUUGUUGUCACUUUUUUCACGUUUUUGAAUGAAUUGUUUCUUUUAUUUUUAUAUAUGGUUAAUAACCGAAAAACCGAACCAAACCGAACCAAAACCGAAAACAACCAAACCGAUAAAUGUAUAUUAUAUUUGGUUUGGUUUGGUUUUGAUAAUUUUAAAACCGAUUAAGUUGGUUUGGUUUUGGUUUUGACUAGUAACCGACCCAAACCAAACCGUGAACACCCCUAAUUGUAGCUCAUUUUAAAAAUAAUAAUAAUAAUAAUAAUAAUAAUAAUAAAAAAUAUGAUAUAAUAAUAAUAAUAAUAAUAAUAAUAAUAAUAAUAUUCUGGCUUACAACACUUGGUAUUAAUUGGUCAAAGUAUGUGAUUUUAAUUUUUGUUUUGGAAAAAUCAGUAUAUGUCUGAAUUUACCAAAUUGAGGUAUUUAAACGUACAUUCUCAAAUUGAAGUGUUUAUUUGUUAUCUAACUAAGGCCAAACUUAAAUGUUUGUUUCAAUAUUACUUAGAACACCUUAUGAGUCCAAAUCUUUAUCAAAUGCAAACUCUCUUUGUUCCCAAAAAUCGUAUGCUAACGUAAUUAAAAUUAUUGAAAUCAUAAAAGAAUUAAAACAAACAGCAUUAACAUUAUUCACCCAUAUAUAAUUAAAUAGAGGUAUAUCCAAUUAUUUUUAUAUAUGUACUCGAUACCGAACCACUGUUUACUUAACAUUUAUCCUCGAACAUCACAUUGACAGGUUCAAUAAACAACAAGGUAAUCAUAUCCUUAAAUUCGCUUCGGGUAUUUAUAAAAUCGCCCUCUUUGAAAAUAUAUGCCAAGCGUGCAAAAUUUAUAACUUGUUCGAGGACAAAUAUUGGUACUUCAGAAGGGCUGAGGAAUUCCUCGUUCAUGUCUUUCCAUGCAUUAGCGAGUUUCUGCAUUAGCGAGUUUCUUUUGAGCCUCAACAUAUGCUUCUUGCUUUGAAACUCCGUGUUCUUUCAUGUAGCAUUCAAUGAAUGAAGCUACAUGGCUUCUUUGUUGUUCGAACUGCAUGCAUAAAAAUAGAUUUCAAUAUGUUGGAGUUGGAUUACGGGUCGUCCAUGUGGGCUAACUCGAUCCUAUUCAGAAAAUAUAAAUUAAAAGGAACAGAAAAGAAACAUGUCUAUAGUGGUAAACCUAAUUGUUUAUUAUAAAUUUUAGCAAUUUUCAUCGAGACACAUAGCUAUUUAUUUAGAAUUGGUGUUCAACACUUACAUCAUUUGUAUUAAUAUCGUCCUUUAAUCUGCCGAUUACUGAUGAAGCUCGAAGAAUCAAAGGCUCAUUUAUUACCCAUUCAAAUGUCUCUUUGGUAAUAUUUUCCUCCAUAACACACAAGAAAGUUGUUGCAGCCAUCAUAACCGUAGUACUUACAAUUGCAAUUUUCAUGUACUCCUCACAUUUUGGAAUAUAGACAUCAUUUAACCAUAGUGCUUCCUUGAGAUAUGCUCUAGCUACUUUCUUCAUCUAAUAUAGGAGUUAAAAGAAAACUUAGAAUCAGAUAAUGUUAAAGACAUAAUCAAGUAAAUAAAAAUGUGUUCUCUUUUUUUAAAAAAAAAUUGAACUUUUGAACGACAUAGUCACACGAUAUAAUUCUCAUGGCAUCAUAGUUGAGACAAAAUCUUUACAUACUUGGCACAUUAAACAAGAACCAAUUUCUCAUGUAAGGAGCGUAUUGAAGGCAUAAUAAUAAAUGGCAAUGUUAAUGUUUGAUUUAAAAGAAAUAAAGCUAAGGGAGCUUACCUCUUGUUUUGCAUAGUAGAGACAUUCCAAUUUACUUUCUUUGGUCAAUUCUUCUUCUAUUUCAUCAUAACGGUCUAGAAGAGUUCGAUAAACAGGUCUCAAAUUGGGUGAUACUAAAUUAAUGGCACUUAUGUCAUCACAUCUGCAUGUUAAGAGUUUGGAUCGAAGUUACAAACUAAAAUUUCUUAUUUAUACAAAUCAUCUCAUAAUAGUAACAUGUCCUUGACACAUUUUAUUUUCCUACUCAUUUGAACGCGUGAGAAAAUCAUUAGUGUAUAGUUUAAUUACCUAUCGAUUGCAUUUGUGAAAGCCACAAGUUCAUCAUAGGUUGCAUAAGUAUCAUAUGUGUCAUCAAUAAUGACGUAUGUCGUGAAUAAUUUUGUCAUCAUUUUUCUUGCACGACUAUGUUGAACUUCAAAGUACACACCAGCUACCCAAAAGUAACACUCCACCAUUCUAUCUCUAGCAUAUGGAAAUUGCUUCGCGAAAUCUUGAUUUUUUCACCACCUAUAUGGUCAAAGAUGGAGUUAGAAUUGUCAUUAAGAAUGUUCAAAAUAUAAAAAUCGAAGUAAACUUACAAAAAAAAUCAAUAGUAUACAUCAUUUACUAUAUAUACAUAAAUGACAAGGAAAGAGUAAUGUAUGUACCUUGUAAGCUCGCAAAGCUCUCCUUGAUGCAACUUUUGUAGAAUAUUAAAAUCCAAUUUUGCAAAUCUCAAAAGCAAAUCACUAUGAGAUUCAAUGUUCUCAUAAAUACAUAUGUAUUUCCUUGCUAACAACCUUGGUAAAUUUGUAUGAAUGGGCUGGCUUAAGGCUUCACUAACUUGGGCCUUGAGUAAGUUGCUCAAUUUUGGGACCAUGGACUCUAGAUGAGUGAUGGUAAAAAUUAGAGCUUCUUCAAAAAUCUCUUCCUCGUGUAUUCGUAGAUGUGUUGCUUCAUAUAAACUUAAUAAUCCAUGAACAUCUUUAAUAAGAUUUUCCUUGAACUUUUCGUCAUGGUUAGUGAAUUUCUUAAACACAUCUGAUUAAUUAUAUUGAACAUCAUAAGAGAAUUAACUAAAGAAUCGUAUACAAUGUUGGAAUAUAAUUAAGGUGAGCUCUUUUAGGAUAGAAGAGAAGAAAUAAACUUACCAGAAGACAUGUAAUGUCUUUGUUGUCUCACUAGUCGAAAACGAAGAGCAACGACGUAAAGAUCGUCAUCAUCUUCAUUUUUACUUUGUUUGGAUUCAUCAAAAAUAUUUUGAAUGGAUGUUUUAAUUUCAUUUUUGAAAUGAUAUGCCACUCCUAGUCGUUGGAUUGUAUCAAUCAAGACAAGUUUUUGUGUAGUAUUAUCUGGUGUUUCAACUAACAUUUUCUUGACUUUUUCUUUCAACUCUUCAAAUUCAAUUUUUUCUUGGGUACUAAUUUUCUGCACCAAGAAUUAAGCCUUAAUACAAAACAAAAACAAUACUAAAAUGAAGGUGUCAUGUGUGAUUGGUCGAAAUGCUUUAAAAAAAAUCUAUACAAAAAUAAGUUUCUUAAAGAUAAGUAAAAUGAAUAAAGGGGCGAGAGAAACAUGAUCUAUAUAGUGUUUGUCUAAAUUAUAUAUAAAUAUUUUUGAGAUAAUAUAUUUUGUAUACUUAUCAAAUAGAGUUAAUGGUCAAAAAACUAUACAUAAAAUAUCAUAUUUUGCGAGUUUUCUACCUAAACUAUCAAGUGUUCACAUUUUCUACCUGAACUACAUCAACUAUUUAUCAAAAUAUACCUCAAGUUCAAUUAUCAAUUGUUCCUUUUUUUCUACAUGAAAUAUAACUAUCGUUCAGGUAGGAAAAGAGAAUAACUGAUAGUUGAUGUGUGUUUCGAUAAACUUUUGGUGAUAGUUCAAAUAGGAAACUCGCACAACUGAGAGUACAAGUAUGAAACUCGAAAAAUAAAAAACAUGAAUAUAAUAUGAGUAUAUUGUAUGUCAUACCGUGAGUUGAGGAGUGUAAGAGAGGAAAUAAUUUUCCCAAACAGUUGAGUGAAAAUUUGCCAAUGGACGUUUAAUAUUGCCGCUGGAAGAAUCAACCAUUGCUACACUCAUUUUUAAUUUACUCAUAUUUUUCUCUCUUCCUUUUUUUCCCUAAAGGGACAUGUGAAUAUUUAUGUGGUAUUUUGAUUACUUUAGAAUUAGAAUUAUAGGACAGAAAAUUAUUUCCCCAAAAUGUUGGUUGAACAUUUCUCAAAUGACAAGAGAUUGUAGAAACAAUCAUUGUUUUUUUCCUCUCUUUUUAUACAAUUAAUUAAUUAAGCUGUGAAGUAUUUAUAGUAAAGGUGUGAUCACUGCACCAAAAAUAUCUUUACCGGUAUUUAAUUAGCGUGCUGUUAAAUAUGUAUUUUAACGGUAAUUAGCAUUCUUUAAAUGUUUCUAAAUCCUAUAACGAUAUUUGAUCUAAUGACAAUUAAUUAAUAUCAGUAAAAACUUUAACACUAUUUAUUAAUAUAUAUAUUACCGCUAAAAAUUAUUUUUAUUGUAGUGGAUAUCUAUACCUAAAUCCAAGGAAAAUGAAGAACCUGAUCUACGAGUUAUUGGAUAAGAAUUAAAGAAUUCAUUGGGUCUUCUUGGUUUGUGUAAUACACGGUAUAUGUGGAAUUAUCUGGUUUGGUGUUAGUGACACAUUGAAAAUUUAAUGUCAAUAUACAGUCAAUUUUUUUUAUAAUAUUCAUAUUUUAUAUUAAUAUUAUUUCAUUAAAAUGAAGUUUUUUUUUAAUUAAUUUUUUAUAUUUGUCAAUUAUAUAUUUUUGGUUGAAGUGUUAAAAAUAUAUCUAAAUUAUUUUAUUUUAAAAAACUUCAUACUUAAAUUAUUAAACUAGUUUAAAUCGAUACCUAAACUAUCACUCAGGCGGAAAAAUGGGUUCCAAAGCAUUUAUGAUUCUGGGCCUUUUUUUGGCCAUAUAAUUAUGGACAAAUUACAGAAAUCAAAUACUUUUAAGGUAAAAUUACAAUUUAUUCUUCAAAAGUUUAUAAUUACAGAAAUUCCUUAAACGGAUACAAUAAUAUAAGCGCUGAUACAUUAAUUUGAUGCGCGAGGUACAAUAAUAUAAGUGAUGAUACAUUAAUCUGAUGUGUGAGAUACAAUAAUAUAAGCGCUGAUACACUAAUCUGAUGGGCGAAAAUGAGGGAUUUUGGAGAUUUGUAAAACUUAUAGGGGAUAAUGGUAAUAAGUAAACUAAAAUGUGGAAUUUCUAUAAUUUUUCCUAUUAUUUUUUAGUUAGGGAGUUGGCUACUGUAAGAUUGUUUCUCCUUAUAUUCUCUUUUUUUUUAAAUAAAUGAAUACAAUAAAACCUCUCUAAAUUAAUACAGGCGGGACCAUGAAGUAUUAUUAUUUUAUAGAGGUAUUAUUUAAUUGAUAAAUUAAUAUUUAUUAAUUUAAAGAGUGUUUCGUAAAAACUGUUUAGGGAUAAAAUCUCAAAGAAUUUGAAAGAACCCAUUAGUGAAAAUGUCAUUCGUGAACUUGAGGUCAUGAUUAAUGAUCUUGGUUACCACUAGGGGUGUUCAUGGUUUGCAUAAAAACCGAUCCAAACCGAAAAACCAAACCAAACCGAUUAAAUGAACCAAUUUAAUUUGGAUUUUGGUUGGUUUGGUUUUAGAUUGUUAAGAACCGAUAGUAUUUGGUUUGGUUAUGGUUUUGUUCGAAAAAAAUCGAAGAAAUAACCGAACCGAACCAACAAGUUAUAUACAUAAAUUUUAUUAUUAUACAUACAUAAUAUAUUAUAUUCAUAAACAAUUUUAAAGAUUUUAUAUAUGUUUCAUCAAAAUUUAUUUUUAUAAUUUACUUAUGAAAGAAAAAAUGUCCAAGGUGAGAACAUUUUUCUUAUUGGUUUCAUGUAUAUGAGUGUCUAUGAAAAUUCUUUGUGGGACUAAAAAUGUCAUUGUCUCUUCCUUCUAUGCCAAAAUAGUGAAUUUUGAAGUUUUAUUCAGUAAAUUCAAUGAUCAAAAGUUUUGUAAUGCCAGUCAUUCUAACUAUUUUUUUUGUUUGAAUGGAUUGUUGUCACUUUUUUCACGUUUUGAAUGAAUUGUUUUUUUUAUUUUUAUGUAUGGUUAAUAACCGAAUAACCGAACCAAAACAAACCAAAACCGAAAACAACCAAACCGAUAAAUGUAUAUUAUAUUUGGUUUGGUUUGGUUUUGAUAUUUUUAAAACCAAUUAAGUUGGUUUGGUUUUGGUUUUGACCAAUAACCGACCCAAAUCAAACCGUGAACACCCCUAGUUACCACAAUAUAAUGGAUGUUAAUAACCUAUUGGAAGGGUGAAAAUGAUACAUGUUUAGAGGUCCAGAGCUUAGAACGAAUUGUGGAUAUCAUUAGAAACACAAUGUUGAUGAUAAAGUUGAAGAUGAUACGAUACAUUUGGAACCAGUUACGGGUAAUUAAGGAGACACUUGCAUCUAGAACUCUUCACGAUUUUAUGGUGCAAUUAGAAAAGAUAACAUCGAAACUUCUAGAUGCAAUAAGAAAAGUUGGAAAUGAGCUACAACUAGAUUUAAAUUUUAACAAAAAAAACAGAACAUAAUAGAAUCAUAAUUUACUAAAUUUUCUUAGAUAUAUUUGUACUUUUAAAGAAUUAUUAAUUUAUAAUAUUAAUGGGACCAUAUAUUUAUAUAGGGGUUUUCUGAAAAUAUAUUAUCUUAUUAUAUUAUCGAAAUGAAUGAUUUUUUUUCAUUGGCCCAAGUCGGGACCGGAGGAAAUUAUUAUCUUAGAAGAAAGAUUAUUAAUUAAUCGAGAAUUAAUUUAGCAAAGUUUUACUGUAUCUAGUAAAAUUAUUUAAAUCUUUCUAAUUAGCGGUCCACUAAAUUAAGUACUAAAGUUUCAUGCUUCUAUAUUCACUUAUGCUUGCUAUAAUUAGUAACGACUAACAAGUAUGAGUUAAAGCCAUGUUUAGUACUUACGUAUAUAAUAUAGUAGUCACUAUAUAUGAAUCUUCACAUCUUUAUAAAUUGACACUAAUAGUCGUACACCCACUAAUAUAUGAUCAGAGAACCAAAUAGGUUAUUAUUUAAUUAAGUUAGCAGCUAAUUAAAUAUAUUGUUUUAGAUUAAGCACCUAUAUAUAGGAUGCUCUUUUUUUCUUCAAUUUCCUAAUCUGCUCUUGUACGCCAAUAUUAACAUUGACGAUUAGAUCACUUCAUUAAUUUUCUGGUCACGAAUCUAUUAUAUUAUUAUUAUUAACGAAACUCUAGUUGAUUUUUCUUUCUUUAAGAUCAAUUGCUAAAACUGAUGACUAGGUCACUCAUCUAAUUCUAUAUAUAGUCACAAGUCUAUUAUUAUUAUUAUUAUUUUUGUUAAUAAGAUACUUAUAUUAAUAAAUAAUAUGCAUCAAUACAUGGGAAAGACAGUGCUAGACCCCUCCUAGUAUCGUCCAGGGCGGGGGAGUUACAUUGAGUUUAUAACUAUUACAUAAGUUGGAAGUAUUUGGUGACUUCCAUAUCCUACCAAAAUGAGUUCCUCCUUUGUUUGCUUCUAGUUUAUUCGAGACAAAUACCGGUGGAACUUCGUGGUACAAAAAGGAACUAGCUUGCUUCAUCUUGGACCCCUCCCUUGUUAGAGCAUCUGCCACCCGGUACCCAUUCUCCAUUCGAGUCUCUAUUAUUAUUAACAUAUCUUUAGUUGAUAUUUUUUUUGUUCACCACUAAGAUAUUUUAAUUAACUCGCUAUUGAUCUUGCUGCUUUUUGGAGCUUAUUGUAAGAAUUAUUAUUAUGAAAUAAAAGCCAUCAUGUAAUGUUUGUUAAUUAUGCUAUAUGGUAUGAUAAUAUUUUCC